GUGUCAGCAGCCGCGGUAAGACGAACCGUGCGAACGUUGUUCGGAAUCACUGGGCUUAAAGGGCGCGUAGGCGGGCGGGCAAGUCUGCGGUGAAAGCCUCCAGCUCAACUGGAGAAGUGCCGUGGAUACUGCUCAUCUUGAGGAGGGUAGGGGCGUCUGGAACGUUGGGUGGAGCGGUGAAAUGCGUUGAUAUCCAACGGAACUCCGGUGGCGAAGGCGAGGCGCUGGACCCUUUCUGACGCUGAUGCGCGAAAGCCAGGGGAGCGAACGGGAUUAGAUACCCCUGUAGUCC
rnacentral:rRNA from 1 species